UGGCAGUCGGGAAAUAUUGAACUGGUGAAAAGACGUGGUUUGAACUAAAGAUAAUCCAAAAUGGAUUGGAGACCAAGUCAAUGAAAUUGAAAGAAAACUGAUACGUCAAAAGUUCCAAGAAUGACCAAAGCUCUAGUGGUCGUCGUACUGAACUGAGUAAGUCCAGAAUAACGACUUGAGAGAAAAAAGGAGGUGAGACCUCCAUUCGCCUGAGCUUGGCGACUGGAGACGGAACGUUUCCGUCGCGAGAUGGUUGACUCGAUAUGGGGGAAUAGAGAGAAUCCACCCGAUAGGACCUGAACUUGGUCCCUGGAGUGGGAAUAGUCCCCACGCGAGAUUGGUGGACUCGAUUAUCGGGUAAAUGGCUUGGAGUGGAGAUCAAACUUUCAAGUGAAGUGAGAGAAGAAAAAGGAACGAGCUGGUCCCAAAAAGGAAGAGUUGUGUGAGAAAAUAAAGAUACAACUAAGCCAACCAGAGGGAA
rnacentral:rRNA from 1 species